GAUGAAGAACGUAGCAAAAUGCGAUAAGUAAUGUGAAUUGCAGAAUUCAGUGAAUCAUCGAAUCUUUGAACGCACAUUGCGCCCUCUGGUAUUCCGGAGGGCAUGCCUGUCCGAGCGUCAUUGCUGCCCUCCAGCCCGGCUGGUGUGUUGGGCCCCGUCCCCCUUCCCGGGGGGACGGGCCCGAAAGGCAGCGGCGGCACCGCGUCCGGUCCUCGAGCGUAUGGGGCUUUGUCACCCGCUCUUGUAGGCCCGGCCGGCGCCAGCCGACCCCCUCAAUCUAUUUUUCAGGUUGACCUCGGAUCAGGUAGGGAUACCCGCUGAACUUAAGCAUAUCAAUAAGCGGAGGA
rnacentral:misc_RNA from 1 species